rnacentral:rRNA from 1 species
UACGUAGGGUGCGAGCGUUGUCCGGAAUUAUUGGGCGUAAAGAGCUCGUAGGCGGUUUGUCGCGUCGACUGUGAAAACCUACAGCUUAACUGUGGGCUUGCAGUCGAUACGGGCAGACUUGAGUUCGGUAGGGGAGACUGGAAUUCCUGGUGUAGCGGUGGAAUGCGCAGAUAUCAGGAGGAACACCGAUGGCGAAGGCAGAUCUCUGGGCCGUAACUGACGCUGAGGAGCGAAAGCGUGGGGAGCGAACAGG